rnacentral:rRNA from 1 species
GAUGAACGCUGGCGGCGUGCCUAAUACAUGCAAGUCGAGCGAACAGACGAGGAGCUUGCUCCUCUGACGUUAGCGGCGGACGGGUGAGUAACACGUGGAUAACCUACCUAUAAGACUGGGAUAACUUCGGGAAACCGGGGCUAAUACUGGAUAAUAUAUUGAACCGCAUGGUUCAAUAGUGAAAGACGGUUUUGCUGUCACUUAUAGAUGGAUCCGCGCCGCAUUAGCUAGUUGGUAAGGUAACGGCUUACCAAGGCAACGAUGCGUAGCCGACCUGAGAGGGUGAUCGGCCACACUGGAACUGAGACACGGUCCAGACUCCUACGGGAGGCAGCAGUAGGGAAUCUUCCGCAAUGGGCGAAAGCUUGACGGAGCAACGCCGCGUGAGUGAUGAAGGUCUUCGGAUCGUAAAACUCUGUUAUUAGGGAAGAACAAAUGUGUAAGUAACUAUGCACGUCUUGACGGUACCUAAUCAGAAAGCCACGGCUAACUACGUG